rnacentral:tRNA from 1 species
GCGGGCGUAGUUCAAUGGUAGAACGAGAGCUUCCCCAAGCUCUAUACGAGGGUUCGAUUCCCUUCGCCCGCUCCA